rnacentral:lncRNA from 1 species
UUUUUUUUUUUAACAUAGCAAAAUAUCCCAAGUUUAAACCAGGGUCUACUGUAAUAGAAUCACAGUCAAAGGCCAGGGAAGAUUAAUUGUUUUUUUCACAAUGUUAGCUUUUUACCAAAGACUCUCAAGAAUGAUAGAAAAGUCAUGAUAAUGUGAACAUUAAAACUUCCAAGAGUCUUUAAACAAAUGGCUAUAAUAAUAAUAAUAAAAAGACAGAUGACAAAUGAAGCUAGUUUACUAUCUUAUCACUCUUGAGAAUGAACUAUUAAUGAAUGACCACUGCUAUCACUACUAUUCCUCCCUCUUAGAAAAAAAAGGUCAAAGUGAAGUGUUUAUUAUCUAUGAGUGCUCUGUUUCUAACUACCAUCAAGUCCAGACUGAUGGUAAAUUCCAAAUAUUUAUUGCUGUUACAAACGACCUCAUAAACUAAGUGGCUUAAAAUAAUCAUUUUAUUUUGCUCACAAACCAGCAGGCUUGGGAUUCAGGAAGGGCUCAGCUGACUCAUCCAUAUUCAUGUGAUGUCAAGUGAAGCAGUGGGCUGGAGGCUCCACAAUGGUACCCUCACUCGUAUACCUGGUACUGACUGGUGUCUCUCUCUAUCCACAUGGCAUCUCAUUCUCCAGGGUCUCUCCACAGAGGGGCUUCGCACUGUAGGGUGAUCUCAAGGUGGUUGUACUCUUCCAUGACAGCCAGCUUCUCAGAGGCAGGAUGUGGAAAUUGCUGGACCAGUUAAGGGCUCUGCCAUAUUUUAUUGGUCAAGGCGGUCACAGGGCCAAUCCAGCUUUAAGAUACAAAGAAGUGGACUCCACCUCUUGAUGGGAAGGGCGGAAAGGGCACUCUGCAGACGAGCAUGUGGGAUGGGAGCCAUCUUGGAAAACGUGAUCUGCCACAGAUGGCUAGCAGGUGAAGUAGGCCACUAGAGAUUUGAAGUAUAAGGGCUGAUUUUGCAUACUAUAAACAGAAAGUCUUUUCCCAAAUGAACAGACUCUGCUAGCUAGAAGUGCAGUCUCCUGCAUUCUUCAUGUAGUCUAUUAUGCUCCCCUCCCCAACCCAUAAAAUGUUAUCAACGUUAAUUUCUGGAAUGAUUAACUCAAUAUUACUGGGUCAAACUCUACUAUAUCCUCUCAAAGCAAAGUUUCUGAUGAUCUCUGAAGAUGAGUUUUAUAAAUGGGAGCCAUUAUAGCUAAUAAAUUCACAGGAUGUAUUUUAUAUUUGAAGUACAACUUGUUUGGCACUUUUUACUCUCACUUUCGUUCCAUCAUCCUUGGCCUCUCACCCACUCUUGAAUCCAUUCUGUCCUAUGUAACAUCAAUAUGACCUCAUGACAACCUUAAAUUCUACUGUACAAUAAAAAAGGUAACUCAAAAAGCUUAAAAAGAAAACAGAAGUAUAUUAUAGCUUAGGACUAACUUCAGCAAAUGUAUAAAAAAAGAGACAUGCAGGGUACCCACAGUCAUUGUUAGCUUUAAACCCUAUACCAGAAAAGUGACUGAAGGCAAGAUUAUUAACUUGUUAGCUACACAGUUACGACAAUCCAGAAUUGAAUCUUUAGUGCUGCUUUGUAUAAAUGGAUAUCAUUUUUUCUGAGCCUUAACAAAACCUGUGUAUCUGAUGGGUUCCUGUGAUCAUUCAAUAUUUGUGAUGUUCUAUUUAGGCCUCCUAUUUAGGGUUUAUGGUUUAGUUGUGAAACUGGAACAGACAUGUUUAUUUUAAUUAUUCGGUCUACUUGACUACCAAGAAUAAAUUGUGCUUUGGGCUGUGAUAAUAUAGUGAUAAGCAGACCUGGAAAGGGACUUUCCAAAUUCAGGUAGAAAGAAGAAUCUUCCACAAAGAAGUUUUUGCAAAAUUCAGGAAUCAAAAAGUAUGGUCAAUCUAUCCAUUUUCAUCACAUUGACUGUACGAUGUGAUGUACAAAUUCCUACAUUAAUAUCUGCUUGCCAGUUAAUCCUGCAGAAAAGUGUCCAAAAAUAACUUUUUUCAGCCAAAAAUAUCCAUUUUCAUCACAUUGACUAUCUAUACAAAUUACUACAUUGAUAUCUGCUUGCCAGUUAAUCCUGCAGAAGUGUCCAAAAAUAAACAUUUAGAACAUAACAACAAUAAUAUAUUCCAUGCUAUAUAGGUUGUAAAGGAUGAGCACGAGUACUUUUUCACAAAUCCCAUCAGUGAGCCCCAGGGUAUUAAUGUUACACUUGGAUCUCAGGCUGUUCCAACUAAAACUAUAGGAGUAUAACUAAGUAAAAACUGAUACAUAGCAUUUCAAAUUUCCUUUAUGCCUAUCUAACUAUCAUAUUUUUCCCAGGUCCAUAAACCUCUCUACCUAGAAUGUGUUAAGAAUGGUGAAGGGUCAGAGAUCCUACUUGCAAAUUAGCAAGUCAGUCUGCUACAAUUUCAAGGAUGCUGAGAGAAGAUAUGAGACUCCUGGUUCAGAGACAAAGAACUUUAUUACACAGGGCAUAGAAAGCAACAUGGAUAUCAACAUACUUGUGUCAGUUUUCCUUACUCCUGAUUUUCACAGAGGUAAUUUGUGUGGUCCAAAUGGAUGCCUGUACCUUCAGUGAGUUGGACACAGAAGAGGAACUCUGAGUUUUAGGGAACCUGAAUCUUUUAUAAUAGGCAAUAAGCAUAACUGUAUUUUGCUCCAGAGAGAGCCAUUAUCCUUAUUAUAUGGGAUAGUAAGCAUCCUGAUCUUUGUUUCUCUAUCAUCCAGGGUGUUUGCUAUACUGAUAUUUUGAAAAAAUAAUUAGUCUGGAACUAAGACAGCCAGUGCCUAUGUUUGCAGGAUGUACAGAAACAUAAGAAACCCACAGAAAAUUAUCCCUUCAACAGAAAGUUUCAAAAAAUACAAGUUAUCCUACAGAUGAGGAGAUAAAUGCUAAACUGUUCUUCAUGACUAUCUAAACUUAAGU